GGGAUUGUGGCUCAGCGGUAGAGCCCUUGCCUAGCACGCAGGAGGCCCUGGGUUCGAUCCUCAGCACUA
rnacentral:tRNA from 1 species